rnacentral:snRNA from 1 species
GUUCUUGCUUUGGCAGCACAUAUACUAAAACUAGAAUAUAUACUAAAACUAGAACUACAGAGAAGAUUAUCAUGGCCCCUGCGCAAGGAUGACAUGCAAAUUCGUGAAGCGUUCCAUAUUUAA